rnacentral:rRNA from 1 species
AUUGAACGCUGGCGGCAUGCCUUACGCAUGCAAGUCGAACGGUAACAGGUCUUCGGACGCUGACGAGUGGCGAACGGGUGAGUAAUACAUCGGAACGUGCCUAGUAGUGGGGGAUAACUACUCGAAAGAGUGGCUAAUACCGCAUGAGAUCUACGGAUGAAAGCAGGGGAUCGCAAGACCUUGUGCUACUAGAGCGGCCGAUGGCAGAUUAGGUAGUUGGUGGGAUAAAAGCUUACCAAGCCGACGAUCUGUAGCUGGUCUGAGAGGACGAUCAGCCACACUGGGACUGAGACACGGCCCAGACUCCUACGGGAGGCAGCAGUGGGGAAUUUUGGACAAUGGGCGCAAGCCUGAUCCAGCAAUGCCGCGUGCAGGAUGAAGGCCUUCGGGUUGUAAACCGCUUUUGUACGGAACGAAAAGCCCCGGGUUAAUACCCUGGGGUCAUGACGGUACCGUAAGAAUAAGCACCGGCUAACUACGUGCCAGCCGCCGCUGUAA